GGGUGUGUGUUGGAGGAUGCAUUGCCCCCUUCGGCGAACCGUGAAUUAACACCACCACAACACCGCCAGGCUGCUCCCGGCCAUUCGACAAGCUAGGGCGAUAUUACAGGUUAUGAAAUUUGGUCCUCCAGUGAUUUUAUGCUUCACGGUUGUUUCUAUGGCUUUGAUUGUGGAUAAAUUUAUAUGAUGUACUGCUUUGCAAUGCAGAAGCUUUGGUUGUCCAGUGAUUGGUCUAUCGUCUAAUUGAAGCGCAUGGUGGCAUAUUUGGGCUUGGUUUACCAUUAUUAGGAGUUCCGCUUCAUCACCUAUAAUAUCAGAAUUCCUCGGUUCCAUGUUUCAAGGUGUCAACAAGCAGAGGUAUUAACUGCGCUGGCAGAUGAUAAUGCUUUAAUGGAAGUAAAAGCGUCCAUUAGUGCAGCUCGGUUCAUUGGAUCCACAUUGACACAAUGAUGCGAGAACGCGUUUCUUUCUUGGAAUGGAAAAUCUACAUGUACUUCGCAAACGUAGGUGUGUAUUCCAGCAAGAGAUAGAUCAACAGAGAAAAUUUAGAUUAGAAUGGGUUGAUUAGAUUUCUAUUGUUAAUCUUAUAGCAUUUGAUGCUUGCUCUUGGAAUUUUCUGAAGAACAAUAUGCAGUGGCAGGAGCAUUCAGAAAAACCAGCUAUAUCCAGGGCCAUCAUAGAAUCUUCGGGCUACAAGCAAGGGAUGCUAUGUAAGCUGGAAGGUGGCCUAAAUGUGCUAUAUUUUCUAACAGUAUGGAGAGUUGUGGCAAGUGGAGUAGACAAGCUGAUAUUCACUAGAAUUUCCCUGGAACCCAAUGUUUAGUAAUGGUGGGGCGGAAAGGAUUCAUGCUAAUUGGACUGUUCCCUUUAUUGUUUUUCAAGCAUGGUGUUUGAGGUCUGAAGUUUUCUUUCCAAGAUUGUACGAGUGGUUGAAAUUGCUAAAGGUUAAUGAGAAGCAACUACUAGAGAUAGAAUGACUAAUGAUAAAAUUCAGCUGAUGGAGGAUGGAGUACUGACAGUUGCUGAGGCUGAAAAGAUAAUUUAAAAAAAAGGGUGUAUGAUAUACAAAUAUCAGGCUUCAAAGUUGGAAACGAAUUGUCAAAUUGGAAUGAAAUAUACAUUGUUUUACAUCAUACAAA